rnacentral:rRNA from 1 species
GCAUCAAUGUUUAAAUAAUUGAUGCAAUAUCGACUCUGUCGAAUAAAAUUCUAGGUAGAAUUAUGAUAAUGACAUUGUCUGCCUAUGUGUCUUGACCAAAUUACGUGCCAGCAGUCGCGGUAAUACGUAGAAGACUAGUGUUAUUCAUCUUUAAUAGGUUUAAAGGGUACCUAGACGGUAAAUCAAGCCUGCAAUAUGGGACUAAUGUACUAGAGUUACUUACGAGGGGGUAUUAAAGUACUGCUGGUGUAGAGAUGAAAUUCUGUCAUACCUCAUUUCAUAAGAAAUACUAUGGCACAGGUAUAGGCGAAAGCAUCCCCUUAUGUGAUAACUGACGUUGAAGGACGAAGGCUUUGUGUAGCGAACAGGAUUAGAUACCCCAGUAGUCAAAGCAGAAAAUGAUGAAUGUCAUAGAUUAGACAUAUAAUAGUUUAUUCUAUAAAUGAAAGUGUAAGCAUUCCACCUCAAGAGUAAUUUGGCAACAUUGGAACUGAAAUCAUUAGACCGUUUCUGAAACCAGUAGUGAAGUAUGUUGUUUAAUUUGAUAAUCCGCAAAAAACCUUACCACAAUUUGAAUAUUUAGAUUUUUGUUUCUUUUUUCU